AUUGUAAUAGUCAGUGUAUAUGAAAAUUACUUUAAAUACAAGUACAGAGAUAGUGUAUGCCGGUUGUGAUCGUCGCUCGCUCAAUGCUACUGUUCAACUCUACGUUUGCUAUUCCACUGUAUGACUCGUUAUAAUGAUUUGCUAUAAUGAUCGUCCUAGAGAGGACGUUCGUCUAUUUGUAUCGACCGAUAGUAUAGACCUAGCAAAGCAAAACAACGUUGGCACUCCAAGGCACAACAAUACCAGUCCCUGCCGACCUUUCAAUGACUCAUGUGCCGCUACAGAGUUAAUAUCAAUAAGAUUCGCACCUAAUAUAUUGUUCGAAAUCCAAUGCUGAAAAUGAUGUAGCAGUAAAGAUCAUUUGCCACAAGCAAAGAUUGAUAAAGAUUAUACGCCAGUAAGAAAAAGUUAUUAGCACCUUCGUCAUUCGGAAGGAUAGCGGAAGCUCUCCGCGGUCCCUCCAAAAAAAAUCUG
rnacentral:misc_RNA from 1 species